rnacentral:lncRNA from 1 species
UGAGGUCACACCAGCAGCUGCCCUCUUCAAGAGGCGGGGAAGACAAGAGUUCCUGAAAGAACAACGUCACUCCUGAAAGAGUCCAUGGAGCACUUCAGCAAACAAUCUCAUCUCAGAAUCAAGGCCCCGACAGACACUGGACGGGCCCGAGAUGGAAGUGACUUUGGACUCAGUGAAGAGGAGACUGCGACGUUUCCAGGCCUCGCUGGAGAUGCCGGGGGCGUCACUCCAGCAGGUAGAGGCCAAACAGAAGCUCCGCUUGGGCAGCCCUGGUCGGCCUCUCUUAUGAGACCCACACGGCUGCACGCUCUCCUGACUGCAGCUUUGGGCUGGAUCAGUAGCCCCAGGGCCCCCAGGCCACUUCUGAAGAGGGCGAGAAGCUCCCCGCCAGAGACCUGAGGCUGCAGGACAACCAACUGGAAGCUGGGGAGAGACAGGGCCUGCAGGGGAAUGGCAUUGAGCCCUCCCGUCCCUGGGGCAGUCACGGGGCAUCGUUGGCACCCUGAGGCACGGACUUGAAAAAAUGCAUUGAUUCAAGAUGGAAUAAACCGAGUAGGUUUCAGAACAGCCACCCUUGGCCUGGACAGUGCAAGAGCUGCAGAGUGUCACCUCACAGGGCCAGCGGCGACCCAAGACACGGGUGCCUGGAAAGGGGGCUCUCUGCGGGGACAGGGCUCAGAAAGGCUGGACCUGUCCUGAACCACAGAAACAGGGUUCCCUGAACCUCGGCCAUCGUCUACCAUUACGGCGCCCUGUCCAGAUAUAAAGUCAGAAAAUCUCAGAUGCACAAACAUUUUGAAGUAAAAGAUAGUUUCUAAACCAUUACUCAAACCAAUAAAACGUGAAGUGAAAUGAAAUGUGUAAUGUGAAUGAAAAUGCUCCCCAAUGUGCACAGUUCAGCCGAAUUUUCUUUAGGGUGACAACUGUCAGGUGUGCGAUGGGCUGUG